ACAGGUGCUAAUACCGUAUAACAACAAAAUCCGCAUGGAUUUUGUUUGAAAGGUGGCUUCGGCUAUCACUUCUGGAUGAUCCCGCGGCGUAUUAGUUAGUUGGUGAGGUAAAGGCCCACCAAGACGAUGAUACGUAGCCGACCUGAGAGGGUAAUCGGCCACAUUGGGACUGAGACACGGCCCAAACUCCUACGGGAGGCAGCAGUAGGGAAUCUUCCACAAUGGACGAAAGUCUGAUGGAGCAAUGCCGCGUGAGUGAAUAAGGGUUUCGGCUCGUAAAACUCUGUUGUUAAAGAAGAACACCUUUGAGAGUAACUGUUCAAGGGUUGACGGUAUUUAACCAGAAAGCCACGGCUAACUACGUGCCAGCAGCCGCGGUAAUACGUAGGUGGCAAGCGUUGUCCGGAUUUAUUGGGCGUAAAGCGAGCGCAGGCGGUUUUUUAAGUCUGAUGUGAAAGCCUUCGGCUUAACCGGAGAAGUGCAUCGGAAACUGGGAGACUUGAGUGCAGAAGAGGACAGUGG
rnacentral:rRNA from 2 species